GGCGGUGAUGGCGUGGCCGGUGUUGAGGGUGAACAGCUUGCGCUCGACGAACGCCAUCAGGUUGUCGGUCAGUUCCAUGCCGGCGAUCGCCG
rnacentral:tRNA from 2 species